CGGGAAUUUUAGGUAUAUUUAAACCGGUAACUGCAUUGAAAAGCGCUUGAAAAAAUAGCACAUUACAUUGCAUAAAAUUAGAUUACUACAUACCCAGAUGACUGAGAAUAUUAAGCAUGAAAGUUGCAGCAUAUCCGCGUUUUAUCCUUAAUAUCAAGCGUUACGAAGGUUCGAAAACCCCCGCAUUCCACAUGUAUUUUAUCAACUUUUCGCGGACAAUUUAUUACGAUUAAUAAUAGUCUUUUAUAAUAUAUCCUAAUAUAUCCCUUUCAACAAAACGCGGAUUUGAUUUUAAAAUUGAGUUUCGUGUCAAAUUUGAAGCCGUCCCCCCCCCCCAUCCAUCCGCCUGUCCCCCCGUCCGUAUCCGCAUUUUUCAAUUUUCCUGUAAUUUACAUUUUCGGCCUUUCGUUUCGGUCGUUUCGAUGGUUUUGUCGUUUCGCCUUUUAGUACAUGCCGGAUUUAAAUGUAUAGGCACUGCAGUGUGUAUCACUAAUGGAUCUGCAAUCUCGUUCCCAGAGUAUGCCUGUU